rfam:Triticum aestivum genome assembly, contig: Triticum_aestivum_CS42_TGACv1_scaffold_361514_4DS
UGUGUACUCCCUCCGUUCCGAAUUACUUGUCUUGGAUUUGUCUAGAUACAUCCGUAUCUAGAUUCAUUUUAGUGCUAGAUACAUCCGUAUCUAGAAAAAUCUAAGACAACUAAUUUAGAACAGAUGGAGUAUUUC